rnacentral:rRNA from 1 species
AGAGUUUGAUCCUGGCUCAGAGCGAACGCUGGCGGCGUGCUUAACACAUGCAAGUCGAGUGCGCGGUAGCAAUACUGGCGCACGGCGCACGGGUGCGUAACACGUGGGCAACCUGCCCUCUAAUGGGGGAUAACCCCGCGAAAGCGGGGCUAAUACCGCAUGACAUUCCGAUGGCUUCGGCCGUCGGAUUCAAAGCCGUA